AUGCAAGUCGAACGGUAGCAGGAGAAAGCUUGCUUUCUUGCUGACGAGUGGCGGACGGGUGAGUAAUGCUUGGGAAUCUGGCUUAUGGAGGGGGAUAACGACGGGAAACUGUCGCUAAUACCGCGUAUUAUCGGAAGAUGAAAGUGCGGGACUGAGAGGCCGCAUGCCAUAGGAUGAGCCCAAGUGGGAUUAGGUAGUUGGUGGGGUAAAGGCCUACCAAGCCUGCGAUCUCUAGCUGGUCUGAGAGGAUGACCAGCCACACUGGAACUGAGACACGGUCCAGACUCCU
rnacentral:rRNA from 1 species